ensembl:lncRNA LCMT1-AS1 LCMT1 antisense RNA 1
AUAGCUAUAAUUAACUCAGGGCGGAACAGCUAGCAGAAUCCUCAGCGUUCGGGCAAAGGGCAGAGAAUCCAGCCAGAAGCAACAUGUAGAUCUAAUGACCUUCUCCAGGAGUCGAGGACCCACUACCUCGCUGAAUUCUCAGAGUCAAAAUGCGUCUCUACCUGCUGGUCCCAGAACAGUCCCCUGCUGCUGCAUUGAAUGAAUCUCAUCUCACUUCCUCGAGUCAGCCCUACCUAUAUUUGAUGAUCACAAACCUUAUCCUUACGUUGCCAGCAGUAACAUUCUGCAUCCCUCACCCACUCCACUGUGUCCUUUUCCUCCCACUGAUCUUCACUCUGCCUUUUCUAGGGGAACUCUGAACAGUAUUUCUGAGAAGGGUGCUGGCAUCUCUUCAUCCCUAGAGUGAUGCUGCCAUCUCCGUCUUGAAUGUCUCUGCUGACAUGACCUGCUAAACUUGAACUCAUAGGCGGGGCAAUCGCUUGAGCCCAGGAGUUCAAAACCAGCCUGAGCAACAGAGGGAGAUUUCAUCUCCAUUCUUUCAUUUUAUUAUAAAAAAAAUUCAAAAUAAAAUGAAAUUGAACCCAUGAA